GAUGAAGAACGCAGCGAAAUGCGAUAAGUAAUGUGAAUUGCAGAAUUCAGUGAAUCAUCGAAUCUUUGAACGCACAUUGCGCCCCUUGGUAUUCCGAGGGGCAUGCCUGUUCGGGCGUCAUUAUAACCCCUCAAGCUCAGCUUGGUGUUGGGGCCUGCUGCACUGGCAGCCCUUAAAAUCAGUGGCGGCGCCAUCUGGCUCUAAGCGUAGUAAUUCUUCUCGCUAUGGAGUCCUGGUGGAUGCUUGCCAUCAACCCCCAAUUUUUCUAUGGUUGACCUCGGAUCAGGUAGGGAUACCCGCUGAACUUAAGCAUAUCAAUAAGCGGAGGA
rnacentral:misc_RNA from 1 species